UCUUUGAGGACACCCCACCAUCACUGACUUCCACAGCCCGGCCCUAGGUCGGGCUGUU
rnacentral:sRNA from 1 species